rnacentral:rRNA from 1 species
AUUGAACGCUGGCGGCAUGCCUUACACAUGCAAGUCGAACGGUAACGCGGGGCAACCUGGCGACGAGUGGCGAACGGGUGAGUAAUGCAUCGGAACGUGCCCGGUAGUGGGGGAUAACUGCCCGAAAGAGCAGCUAAUACCGCAUACGACCUGAGGGUGAAAGGGGGGGAUCGCAAGACCUCUCGCUAUCGGAGCGGCCGAUGUCGGAUUAGCUAGUUGGUGGGGUAAAAGCCAACCAAGGCGACGAUCCGUAGCUGGUCUGAGAGGACGACCAGCCACACUGGGACUGAGACACGGCCCAGACUCCUACGGGAGGCAGCAGUGGGGAAUUUUGGACAAUGGACGCAAGUCUGAUCCAGCCAUGCCGCGUGCGGGAAGAAGGCCUUCGGGUUGUAAACCGCUUUUGUCAGGGAAGAAAUCUUCUGAGUUAAUACCUCGGGAGGAUGACGGUACCUGAAGAAUAAGCACCGGCUAACUACGUGCCAGCCGCCGCCGUAA